AAGAAGCCAGCCAGAGGAUCAGUCGGAGGAGGAAGCCUCUGGUGAAGACGCAGGACAGAAGAAUCCGCGUGGACCCAGAUACACUUAGGCGGAAAACUGUGCCCUAGUGGAUGGCAUCGACAGGUCCUACGAUGUUCUGUAUGGACCAAGGGCACAGACCACAGCAGCUAAGACCAAGCGAUACAUCUGGGAUGCCAUCGCGACACAAGUCACUGCAGUAUCUGGAAACCGCCGGAGCACCAGAAACUGCAUGAAGCGGUACAGUGAUUGCCGCAGACAGACCAAGAAGAAGAUGGGGAUUCAGCGCCGACAUGAGACAGCUACGGGAGGUGGUCCGGCUCUCAAUCUGAAGUGGCUACCCUGGGAGGAAGUUAUUAAAAGGCGCAUGAACCCUGUCAUGGUCCAAGGAGUUCACGGAGGUGUGGACUUUAGCCGUCCUGCUGGCUUUCCCGAGGAGGAAGAACCGCCCAGAAGACGGAAGACGGCGGGAGACAAGCAGUCCAAAAGGAGGCCUGAUGACACGCCUGCCCAGAGGACAUCGGCAGCGCGCGGACCAUCACCUGCGCAGCAGGCAUCGGCAGCAGCGCGCGGACCAUCACCUGCGCAGCAAGCAUCAGCAGCACGCAGAAAGUCACCUGCGCGCCAGACAUCGUCAGCGCGCAGACCAUCACCUGCGCGCCAGACAUCAGUGCACAGAACGUCACCUGCGCGCCAGACACCGUCGGCGACCACACCACCAGCUGGGCGCCAAAGUACAUCUCCUGCGCACAGGCCAUCACCAGCUCGUCAUCUCUCCAGGAGCUCUGGGACUGUGACCGAAGAGCCUCAACAAGACACUACCCUUGUGGACCCAUCACCCGAACUGUUUGAGUCUACAGGGUUAACGGACAAGACUUUUCUUGGGUUUGAAUUUAAUUUUUGUAUAGUUUAUUAACUUUAAUUUUUUUUUCUUUUGCAAACAGAGGUGCCACGGACCAGCAGCGGACUUGCGUCGGGGAUUGGUUCCUUCUUCAGGCCGGAUCUCCUACAGGAUUCGUCGGACGACGAGGUGGAAGUGCAGCAGCCCGCUGUUUCUACAUCCCUGUCUGCACAAAUGCAAUUGGUGGUAGUACAGCAAGGGCAGGAUCCCUCAAAUGUACAGAGGGUACACACCCUGGCAGCAGAGAUGACUGCCCGCCAGGAUACCUACACGAAUAUCGUUGAAACCAGACUGGACGCCAUUGAGAAGAUAAUGGAGAAGAUGGCAAACGGUCUGGUUGAAAUGCAAAAGGCUCAUGCCGACAGCACGGCAGAAACGCAAAAGACCAGACGAGAAGAUCACAGGGAGACUAUGGACAUCCUUCACGUUCUGGCCACAUCCAUCAACCGGCUGGUGGAUAAAACAUCGGUGGUAAUUCCGAGUUGUUCCCUCGGUAAUUUUCUUCGCAUCGCAGCGAUUUUCCACUAAUUGCGCAUGCGCAAUGUUCGCACUGCGACUGCACCAAGUAAAUUUGCUAUGCAGUUAGGAAUUUUACUCACGGCAUUACGAGGUUUUUUCUUCGUUCUGGUGAUCGUAAUGUGAUUGACAGGAAGUGGGUGUUUCUGGGCGGAAACUGGCCGUUUUAUGGGUGUGUGUGAAAAAACGCUACCGUUUCUGGGAAAAACGCGGGAGUGGCUGGAGAAAUGGAGGAGUGUCUGGGCGAACGCUGGGUGUGUUUGUAACGUCAAACCAGGAACGAAACUGACUGAACUGAUCGCAGUGGCAGAGUAAGUCCCGAGCUACUCAGAAACUGCAAAUACAUUUUUAUUCGCAAUAAUGAGAAUCUUUCAUUCGCAAUUUUGAUAAGCUAAGAUUCACUCCCAGUAGGCGGCGGCUUAGCGUGUGCAGUGCUGCUAAAAGCAGCUUGCGAGCGAACAACUCGGAAUGAGGGCCAUCAUGCCUGGCACACAGCGUUGACAACAUGUCGAAGAGCCAACGACAUUCGGCAUCCAGCCAACAGAUCAUCGCAACCGCACUGCAGAUGAUGUACGAUAAGCUCCCAGAGCCAGCUCAUCAACACGCUGGUGAACCACCACUUCCGCCAUCACAAGCCACAUGGACGCCUCCUUCCCUUCCUCCACCACCAUCCUGGUAUAGACGGUCACAGCUGUACCAAGGAUAUACAGGGAUGUACCCCACCCACCAGAUGCCUCCACCACCCACACCGGCCGCAUCAUCUACACCCGCACGGCCACCGAGGCCAAGUCAACACACUCCCCAGCCGCCCAGGGCAUCGACGCCCCAUCAGGAGGAAGAAGAGGAUCCGGACGGACAACCACCAUAAGCCCGGUCAUAUUGUUUUAUUAUUUACUCUUAUGUUUUUCAUGUUUCCCUUUCUCCCCCUCCUAUUAGUUUUUUUUUCUUCUUACUAUUGUUUUAUAUUUGUGUUGGGCUCCCCCACCCCCGACCGGAUACUACCAAGGAGCUUUAUGUCUAGGCAUACAUGCGCGGGCAUGUAUGCGGGCGCGUGUGGUAACUGAUGAAAGCUCCUUGUGGUUACAUGUAUGAAGGGCCAAAGAGCUAUUCUGAUACCACUUUUUUUUUUAAAAACAAACUCCUUUUUGUAUUGGUGUAAAAUAGGCUUUCACUGUUGUGUGAAUUUACUAUUCACUAGUGUUUAUUUUUGGCUUCUUCAUAGGAUUGGGUGGAAAAUUGAAGUGGAUGGCGUAGUUCGUGUUGUGCGUACCAAGGUGA